rnacentral:rRNA from 1 species
GCCCGUCGCUACUACCGAUUGAAUGGCUUAGUGAGGCCUCCGGAUUGGUUUAGGAAAGGGGGCAACCUCAUUCUGGAACCGAGAAGCUGGUCAAACUUGGUCAUUUAGAGGAAGUAAAAGUCGUAACAAGGUUUCCGUAGGUGAACCUGCGGAAGGAUCAUUACUGAUUUGCUUAAUUGCACCACAUGUGUUUUUCUUUGAAACAAACUUGCUUUGGCGGUGGGCCCAGCCUGCCGCCAGAGGUCUAAACUUACAACCAAUUUUUUAUCAACUUGUCACACCAGAUUAUUACUAAUAGUCAAAACUUUCAACAACGGAUCUCUUGGUUCUCGCAUCGAUGAAGAACGCAGCGAAAUGCGAUACGUAAUAUGAAUUGCAGAUAUUCGUGAAUCAUCGAAUCUUUGAACGCACAUUGCGCCCUCUGGUAUUCCGGAGGGCAUGCCUGUUUGAGUCGUUUCUCCCUCAAACCGCUGGGUUUGGUGUUGAGCAAUACGACUUGGGUUUGCUUGAAAGACGGUAGUGGUAAGGCGGGAUCGCUUUGACAAUGGCUUAGGUCUAACCAAAAACAUUGCUUGCGGCGGUAACGUCCACCACGUAUAUCUUCAAACUUUGACCUCAAAUCAGGUAGGACUACCCGCUGAACUUAAGCAUAUCAAUAAGCGGAGGAAAAGAAACCAACAGGGAUUGCCUCAGUAGCGGCGAGUGAAGCGGCAAAGCUCAAAUUUGGAAUCUGGCGUCUUGCGUCGAGUUGUAAUU